GUGACCUCAAAUCAGGUAGGACUACCCGCUGAACUUAAGCAUAUCAAUAAGCGGAGGAAAAGAAACUAACAAGGAUUCCCCUAGUAACUGCGAGUGAAGCGGGAAAAGCUCAAAUUUAAAAUCUGGCAGUCUCUGGCUGUCCGAGUUGUAAUCUAGAGAAGUGUUAUCCGCGCUGGACCGUGUACAAGUCUCCUGGAAUGGAGCGUCAUAGAGGGUGAGAAUCCCGUCUUUGACACGGACUGCCAGGGCUUUGUGAUGCGCUCUCAAAGAGUCGAGUUGUUUGGGAAUGCAGCUCAAAAUGGGUGGUAAAUUCCAUCUAAAGCUAAAUAUUGGCGAGAGACCGAUAGCGAACAAGUACCGUGAGGGAAAGAUGAAAAGAACUUUGGAAAGAGAGUUAAACAGUACGUGAAAUUGCUGAAAGGGAAACGCUUGAAGUCAGUCGCGUUGGCCAGGGAUCAACCUUGCUUUUGCUUGGUGCACUUUCUGGUUGAUGGGUCAGCAUCAAUUUUGACUAUUGGAAAAAGGUCARGGGAAUGUGGCAUCUUCGGAUGUGUUAUAGCCCUUAGCUGCAUACAAUGGUUGGGAUUGAGGAACUCAGCAC
rnacentral:rRNA from 2 species